rnacentral:lncRNA from 1 species
GUUUGAAAGCCUACACAUAGAUAAAUGUGGUAUGAGUGUCAAUUUGACAACCUUUCAUCCAAGUCAUAAAUUUACGCUUAUGGAAUUGAAGUUUGUCCUUUGGCAUUAUAAGGCUUGUGUGUGAGGAUUUCUGGCGAAGUUUGACUUUUAAAUAAUCGAAUACACCGUAUCAGCUAUGGCGUUUGUACCAUAAAGAGAUUGUACAGAUUGAAACAUAAAAAAACCUUCUUGAUCUCGUAAAAUUGAAUAUGUCUCAAACCGAUUAUUCUUUCCUUUUUCUCUUGUUGUCUCCGAAAAUAAUGUGGAGUGUUUCAAUUUGAAAUGAUUAAUUAUUAAAAAGAAGAUAUGGUAUGAUUGCCAAUGAGACAAUUCUCCACAUGAGACCAAAAUGACACAGAAAUGAACAACUAUAGGUCACCGUACGACAUUUUUCAUUACUUGUUUUGCUUGUUUCUUUAAGCAUGUUAUUCGUACUAUCACGUACACAUUGAGUACAGUCACAUUGGUUUGCAUUUCACAAUUUUUGAGUUAGCAUUUCGUUUAAAGUAAGACU